rnacentral:rRNA from 1 species
UAGUGAUCCGGUGGUUCUGAAUGGAAGGGCCAUCGCUCAACGGAUAAAAGGUACUCCGGGGAUAACAGGCUGAUACCGCCCAAGAGUUCAUAUCGACGGCGGUGUUUGGCACCUCGAUGUCGGCUCAUCACAUCCUGGGGCUGAAGUAGGUCCCAAGGGUAUGGCUGUUCGCCAUUUAAAGUGGUACGCGAGCUGGGUUUAGAACGUCGUGAGACAGUUCGGUCCCUAUCUGCCGUGGGCGCUGGAGAACUGAGGGGGGCUGCUCCUAGUACGAGAGGACCGGAGUGGACGCAUCACUGGUGUUCGGGUUGUCAUGCCAAUGGCACUGCCCGGUAGCUAAAUGCGGAAGAGAUAAGUGCUGAAAGCAUCUAAGCACGAAACUUGCCCCGAGAUGAGUUCUCCCUGACCCUUUAAGGGUCCUGAAGGAACGUUGAAGACGACGACG